AAAAGAGUAAUAGUAUGUCUUAAAUUAUCAUCUUAACUUCAAACGGCUAUAACUUCUUCAACUCAACUCUAAAUCCUCUAAUUUUUCUACAAAAAUUGUACCCCAAAUCCUUAAAUUUACAGUCCUAGCUUUUAAUUUCCAAAUGCCUUCUUUAAAGUCACCGAAACUCUUAUUAAGGUCGAGAGCAGCCUCUUCAAAGCCCAUUGGGCAUGGUAUUCGAUCAAUAGGGAUGAAGUUUCCUAUUCCUUGCCUUCAUCCGACCAUACCUUGCUUUCAUCCCUCCCAAUUAGCCUCCUUCUAGUUUAGAUUUUCAGCUUUAAGUGUCCACCUUCUCCUAGGGCUUCAUACUAAAUAUUUAAGUCAUAUAUAUAUAUUUUUAAUGUCAAAAUCAAAAGAAGUAAAGAAACAAAGUAAAGUUUCUUAUA
rnacentral:lncRNA from 1 species